rnacentral:misc_RNA from 1 species
GAUGAAGAAUGCAGCGAAAUGCGAUACGUAAUGUGAAUUGCAGAAUUCCGUGAAUCAUCGAAUCUUUGAACGCACAUUGCGCCCGCCAGCAUUCUGGCGGGCAUGCCUGUUCGAGCGUCAUUUCAACCCUCGACGUCCCCUGGGACGUCGGCCUUGGGGACCGGCAGCACCCCGCCGGCCCUGAAAUGGAGUGGCGGCCCGUCCGCGGCGACCUCUGCGCAGUACAACCACUCGCACCGGGAACCCGACGCGGCCCGCCGUGAAACCCCCAACCUCUGAACGUUGACCUCGGAUCAGGUAGGACUACCCGCUGAACUUAAGCAUAUCAAUAAGCGGAGGA